rnacentral:rRNA from 1 species
GAUUGAACGCUGGCGGCAUGCCUUACACAUGCAGGUCGAACGGCAGCACGGGGGGUAACCCCUGGUGGCGAGUGGCGAACGGGUGAGUAAUAUAUCGGAACGUGUCCAGUAGUGGGGGAUAGCUCGGCGAAAGCCGGAUUAAUACCGCAUACGCACUACGGUGGAAAGCGGGGGACCGCAAGGCCUCGCGCUAUUGGAGCGGCCGAUAUCGGAUUAGCUAGUUGGUGAGGUAAUGGCCCACCAAGGCGACGAUCCGUAGCUGGUCUGAGAGGACGACCAGCCACACUGGAACUGAGACACGGUCCAGACUCCUACGGGAGGCAGCAGUGGGGAAUUUUGGACAAUGGGGGCAACCCUGAUCCAGCCAUGCCGCGUGAGUGAAGAAGGCCUUCGGGUUGUAAAGCUCUUUCGGCGGGGACGAAACGGUUCGUGACAACACCACGGACUAAUGACGGUACCCGCAGAAGAAGCACCGGCUAACUACGUGCCAGCAGCCGCGGUAAUACGUAGGGUGCAGGCGUUAAUCGGAAUUACUGGGCGUAAAGCGUGCGUAGGCGGUUUGUUAAGACAGGUGUGAAAUCCCCGGGCUUAACCUGGGAACUGCGCUUGUUACUGGCAGACUGGAGUGUGGCAGAGGGGGGUGGAAUUCCACGUGUAGCAGUGAAAUGCGUAGAUAUGUGGAGGAACACCGAUGGCGAAGGCAGCCCCCUGGGCUAACACUGACGCUGAUGCACGAAAGCGUGGGGAGCAAACAGGAUUAGAUACCCUGGUAGUCCACGCCCUAAACUAUGUCAACUGGUUGUCGGGGAAGCAAUUCCUUGGUAACGAAGCUAACGCGUGAAGUUGACCGCCUGGGGAGUACGGCCGCAAG